UGUAGAUGUACUACAUUUUCUUCUAAACUAUAUUAUUAUCACCUGUAUCUUUAAAACAGGUUUAGGUUCAUAAAGUUUCUGCAUCAAGUAUACGUAGAUAUAUAUGAGAAUGGAAGCUAUUGUAGUAGACAGAAUUCAAAGAACAUUUGUCUUACUUUCUCUCUAGUUCCUUUUCAGACUCUGCGUCAACUCCUCUGGUAAGUGAGAUCUUGCAAUAAUCCCAGCAUUCCUCUUGUUCUGCCAAACUUUCUUUUGAGAUCUAAGAGUCAAAUAUUGAGCCCAAUGGUGUUGAACGUUGAUGGAUUGACUUUGGUUUUGAAAGACAACACUGAUUUAUCCAAACAUAAUUAAAGGGGCUGUUUAUAUUGUAAAUGUUAACAUUUUUCAAAAUGUAGAAUGGAUCAAAUGUUUGAGGAAUUAGUAUUGAAAUUAAGUUUUAAGAUAAUUAUUAUCAAAUCAGUCUUAGUGACUUAAGGAAACUUUGGGGCACUGCCAUAGCAAAGACUGAAUGCUCAAUUUAGUUGGAAAUUGCUAUGGAAUUACUAAAUGGAUAUUCUGACAAAAAAUAUUACAUCAUAUCAGCAGUUACGGUUAGAUAAUUGUAUUCUUUCACUUGUAGAACAUUUUAUGAUUGUUUAUUAGAUUUUAUUUAGUUUUUUUCUUGGCACAUAUUAAUUCUAACUAAACUUUGAAUUGUGAUAAUUUAAAGCAUGUAUACUAUGUGUCUUGGUCAUAUUCACCCUAAUACACAUUUGUACCCCUUAUCCUCCUUAUCUGAGUAUAUCAAACAAUUGCAUCAUUCUCAUAAUCAAUCAAUCUCCCCCCUCUCAUGUUUUCUCUCCUUUUGUUGGGAAACUUAAGGUUAAUUAGGGCUGUAAAAAAAGAAUCAUUGUAGACUAGACACAGGUCUAUUUUCUUCUAACAUUUUCGUCAUUCAUUGCCUCAGGAAACUUAGGGCCAGGAGACACUCCCCUUUAUCUCAAAGGGUGUUGAUGACCCACUCUUGUGAAAAUCUUUUGUAAAUAAUCAGAGCUGCUGUCUGUUCAUUUUUACUCUUACAACAUUCUCCUCCUCUGCAGUGUUUCCUGAGACUUAGGGGGGAUGAUAUGGGGGUGAAAUUAUGGGCUCAUGGUUCAGCAGCCAGUUACUUUCAGCACUGUGUGCAAUUACUGUCUCUGUAAUGGUGAGUUCAAACCCAAGGCUGACAGCAUAAACUAAGAUGUUUAGAAGGGAAUUCAUUAGUAAAGAACAGCCAUGUGUUUGUAGGUUUUGCACUAGACUCUAUAUUAGCUCGUGAACCACAGGGUUUUGAGGUUUGUGGUACCAUGGUAUUGUGUAUGAAUUCCUUUCUGUGUAGCAUGGUCAAAAACCACAGGAACUUGCUGGAUAUUCACAUAGCUAAUAUCCCAUGCCUACACAAUUGGGCACACUUUGCAUGUUCAGGCAAUAGAAUAUCACACAAGGUACAAAACUGGGUAAGAAAAUUGAUCCUAGUUCUUCAGCUGUCUGCAAAUACCUUUUGGCUCACUGUUGGAUACCCACUGUGGAAGGAGCUUCCAGCUUAACUUCAGCUUGAUUUCUGGCUCAGAAGCAUGUGCUCUUUUCAGUAAUAAAAUAUUUUUAUAUUAUUCUAACUGGUAACUAAAUCAGGUAAUAUCCUGAAUUUGUUCCAACAGAUCAUAGGAUUGAGGCACAUUUUUGCUGUUGCUACACAAACACACACACACACACACACACACACACACACACACACACACAAAAUGCUCAGUAUGUAACUGGAUAUAUUUCAUUUUUUGUAUCACAUGAGUUCUAUCUUUAUCAUGCCUCCACUCCUAAAGCCUCUUAUUUCCCCCUCUCAUUAGACCUCUUUUUUGUUAAUGACUGCUGUACACCCUCACUCUUACUGAGUAUAAAUAUAUAAAGGUAAGCGGAGAGGAUCCAUACAUGAGCCAAAACAUGUAAUGUUUACAUUUAGAAGCCUAUUUUACCUCGUUCAAUGUAAUAAUAUUCAGUUUCAACCAUUUUCAUACAACUUUCAUAAUUUAGGUUGUUUUCUUUUAUAGUUAAAUGCAAUUCUGUUGCAUGUGCACAUUUUUAAUAUCAUUUCAUCAGUUGUUGGACAUCUAGAAUGAAUCCUUACUCCUAACUACAAUUAUCACUUCCUUUAACUCUUGGAUAACCCAAUAAACCUUGUUUGACCAGUGAAACCCGUCACACUUUCAUCUUACCUCUCUGUAAACUAUGGCUAUAGGAGUGAAUGAUCUGAUGCCGAGAUCUCUCACCGAAGAGGAAUGGAACAGAACAUAGGACGGCAAGGUUGGAGCCAUCCUCCAGAAAGGAUUCAUUCACAAUGUUGGAGCCAUCCUCCAGAAAGGAUUCAUUCACAAUGUUGGAGCCAUCAUCCAGAAAGGAUUCAUUCACAAUGUUGGAGCCAUCAUCCAGAAAGGAUUCAUUCACAAUGUUGGAGCCAUCCUCCAGAAAGGAUUCAUUCACAAUGUUGGAAUAAGAUAUAGGUCAAGCAGUUUCAUGGAAACAUCAGAGAAUCCAGGCUACCGUAAAGGUUGCUCUCCACAAACGGAUGGUAUGGUCUUGUUGGUGAAGACAUUACUUGUACAACUCAUUUAACAUGAUGACAUUAAGCUGAUCCUGCUUGUUUGCUAAGGAGAGACAGGAAGAGUGUG
rnacentral:sRNA from 1 species